UGCCCUUGUUACCAAGCUUCCAACCAUAAGGACCCCAUUUUCUGUGUCUUUCAGGUCAUCCCAGGAGGAGCAAUGCACCUGGAAUCCAGUGGGGGUAAUGUCGUGCAGCUGGGUAACGUUGGCAGUGAUAGACACUAGACCUGUUUCCCAUCCUUGUCUCCCAAGCAGCCCAGGUCCUGCGCACUAGCUCUUUCUUAGUGCGUUUCUGACUGGAGGCUUAGCUCAGCGGCUCUGCCUUCCAGGGUAUGGAAGCACAACUAGAAUCAAGUCUUUUUCUCCCCGAAGGUCACAGUAACUUGUUAGAAAAAAAGUUCUUGCUGCCGGAUGGGGAAAGCAAUGGAAUGGAAAGAAAGGAGAAGAAAGCAAAACAAAGAAGAAGAAAAAUGAAAACUGACUUUUGCUUUGGAGAGGCCAGAUGACUCCCCAUGCAAAGCUGGUGCUCAAGCUCAGCAGCCUCUCUGGAUCGACCUGACACUGAUCACCUCAUAAAGUGGUGUUAAGGCAGCAGCGGUCAGCAGAGAAGCUAAGGUAGGAGGAGCUUUGCCCGCCACAGAAGUACAGAGGUCUGCAGCACAGCUCCUAGCUGAGCUCCACACUACCUACGUGCCUCUGUCUAUACACUGUUCUCUCAUUGGCUUAAGGACCAGAGGAUACCAACUCUUCACUCUAUCCAGCGGUCCAGAGAUAACUUGACAUGCUCACUUUGGUCAGCGUGUGGCCUUAUUGUCAAAUACUCACCCCGGUCUUCCGCGGCCACUGCUCUGUAGCAUGCCAGUGACAUGACUGGCCCCCAGAAAGAGUGGACAUUUCAGGUGGAAUACUGGAGUAUUUUAUCAAUUGUAGCCUCCUGCAAGGUUGAGGGAGGGAGAAGUAGCAGAGUAAGGGGCGGGGGGGGUCACUGACCUUCAUUCCAGGACCCUCUAUGCACAUGCUCAGCCUGCAUGGGGAUCAUCUGGUAUCCUCAGAUGAACAACUCUGACAUUUGCAGCCAGCGUGAGCCAUAAGGCAUGGUGCAGAACAGUCCGCAGGCUCUGGGGUGUGAGGGGCAGGAGAGGGGGAUGGCGACACCUUCAAAGAAUGGAAGAUGCUGUUAGCACAUCAGUCCAAUUAUGGUAAUGUGCUGGAGUAAUUGGCCCUCCAAGGGCGCAGGGGCUGCACAUGAGUACAGUAAUUGCAGGUUCACUUGGCUCUGCAUUCUUUAUCCCACUUUGGUGACUAAUUAUUAGCAUUUAGCAAGUGGAUAUUGUCAUCUUUGGAGCAGGUGCAGCUGUGGCUCAGGCACUAGAGCCGGGGCCAGCUAAAGGUCAGCUUCUGCUUGGGGAUAAUUAAUUUUUCUUUUACAGAUCUCAAACUCACUGCGAGCUUGUCUCUGCUGUUUUGCUUCUAAGCAAGCAAGCAAGCACACAAACCGUGCAGUUUAUUUCAAUGCCCUUUCCAUUAAAAGGCCAGAACCACCAACCAAUAGAAACAACUGAAAGUGGUGGUGGGGCCAUUUGUGCAUCUCCAUUCUACCUAAGGAGAGAGCCAAUGUCCAGAAAGAGACAGAUGACUAGGAAAGUCAAAUGGCCUGGAGUCACUGUUAACGAAUGAGUAUAGUCUGAGAGCUUGUGACACCUUGUUGGUUUAUUAUCAGUCCAUAUCGGGCCUUAGGACAUUCUGUUUACGAAAAGAACUGAGGGGGAUAUGGAGAUGGAGCAGUGAGCCAAGAGCAUCAGUGACAGCAUGAGGACCUGAAUGCAGAUCCCCAGCAUCCAGGUAGAAGGCUGGACACAGCGAUGUAUGCCUGGGACCCCACCCACUAUGAGGAAGUAGAGACAGAAGGAUCCAGGGGAUCAUGGGUCAAUCAACUUAAUCUCUGAGCUUCAGGCUCAGUGAGAGACCCUGUCUCAGAAUAUAAGAUGGAGAAUAAUAGAGCAAGAUGCCUGUCAGUGGACCUCUAGACCCCACAUACACAUCCACUGCGGUGUGCACAUACACAUACAUGCAACAUAGCUGCACCCCCACAUACACACUAUAAUAAAAUAAAAGAAGGUUAGCAUGAGGAGGGGGACUAGCAACAGCACACGGCUACUAAAUUACUACUGUAUAUCAGAGCCUACACAAACAAACACCAAUGUUUACUUCACUUAAUCAUUACAAUAGCUAUAAACCACAGACAAUUUUAAUAUUCCCACUUCAUAUUUGAAAAGUAGAAGCUCAAAGAAUUUAAAUGUCUUUGAAACUGAAAUAACAGAGCUGAUACUUUAGCCCUGGGAUAACAGAUGUCUAUCAGCACCCUUUACUCAGGUGUUGUAUUAUGCCUAGUUUCUAGCCUGUUAGUGAAACUGUUACUAGCUUUACUUUGUGGAAGAUCUAUAUCUACAUUAGCAGAGCCUUCUGGUAUACCUCAGGAAGCUCAAAGCUUAAUAAUGUACACAUCAUCCUAUGGCUGUCAUGCUUGACAACAUUAAUCAGUAUGAAAAUAGAGUGGGAACUGGAGAGAUGGCUUAGCAGCUAAGAGCACUGAUGCUCUUUCAGAGGUCCUGUGUUCAAUUCCCAGCAACCACAUGGUGGCUUGUAACAAUCUGUAAUGGGAUCUGAUGUUCUUUUCUGGCAUGUAUGAAGACAGAGUAUUCACAUACCUAAAAUAACUAACUAACUAACUAACUAACUAAAUCUUAAAAAAAGAAAAUUGCUAUAGUUUGAUUUGUAGCAUUCCCCAAAAGCCUAUGUGUUAAAAAUAAAGUCCCCAACUUGGCACUAUUGAGGGUAGUAGGACCUACAGGAAACAAGAGCUAAUGGGAGGUCAUUAGGGACUUUGAAAUGGUAUAAUAACCUUGGCUCCUUUCCUUCAUUUCCUGAUCACUGUGAGGUAAACAGCUGCAUUUCACAUAUACUUCUCAUGCACUAUGAUUAUCCUGGAUAAAGGCCUUAAAACAGUGAGACCAACUGAGCAUGGACUGAAACCUCCGAACCAUGAGCCCAAACAAAGCUUUGGUCUUUUUAGUUGUCAAAAGCUCUUUGUUAUAGCAAUGGAAACAGACUAAGGCAAAUAUGGUCCUGCCUCUUUAUAGAAGCCUUUCUCUUGUCAGCCUGUUGGAUGGUACCUUAGCUGGAUUCCUGCUCACCUUCAUGGACUUUCUUGCAUUUUCUGUUUUAUAUCUAUUUUGACUCCCCAACAAAGGUCCAAAUGUAUUUGGUUCAGGGACAUGGCUAUGUGUACUUUUGGCUAAGCCCUAGGUACCCAGUGACUUCCAGUUGAAGCAAACUGGGGAGGUGGUGUUGGAAUGGGCAAGGCUCUCUCUUUUCUAGUUGGGUUGGCACAGGAAAGUCCCUGUUUUCAGGUUAGCUAGGUCAAUGGAGGAUAUUUUAGGAAAGUUUUGAAAGUUUCCUACAAUCCACCUGCCUUCUUAAACAGAAUCUAUCAUAUCAUAUCAUAUCGUAUCAUAUAUCAUACCAUAUCAUAUCAUGCUGUAUCUUACUGUAUCACACCAUAUCAUAUAUUGUAUAGGAUUUACCGUAUACUGUAUAUCAUAUAUCAUAUAUCAUACCAUACCAUAUAGAACCAUAUUGUUUUGUAUUGUAUUAUAGUGUAUCAUAUUAUACCAUAUCAUAUACCAUUCUGAGUAAUGGCUGAUGAGAUGAAAGGAGAAAGUGAACAGGAGGGACUGAAGGGUGGGUAAUGUUUUAAGAGUUUAUAUUUGUGUCCGGACUGGCUAUUAUGGUGGAACAACAAAAAUUCCCUUCUGAGACUCUUGCUGCAGCCUACAUAUUGAUGUAGCCAAGUGAAUGUCCCUCAUUGCAACCUGACCUCCUUCUUACUAUGGAAUGAUCUCAUUUCAAGGCUAACCACAAGAGGCUUGACUGGGCACUGGGCAUGCCGUAUGCCUGGCAUUUGCAAAUCUUCAUGCAAAGUGCAAGAGUUUUUUAAGACAGUAAAUAAUCCUGUGUAGAGGAGUCUGGGAAAGGUCUGCUCUAAGCCAUGAGGUGAACAGAGACGCAAUCACUCUGCCUACCCUUACAACUGUUAUCUGCUGCUCUUCUCUAAAGCAAAGGCUUAAGUCGCUUUUAAUUUUAGAUCAGGAGGAAUCUGAUUAGGGGCCAAGGUCUUUUAUCACUGUCCUUCAAAAUGUAUUAAGUUGUGGUGUUUUUCCAUCUCUGGUCUGCAUAGCUUUGGCUUCUUCAAUGCCCAGAGCUGAAGAUCCACCAAGAAUUCCACCUACAGCCGGGGUACGCAGAAAGACCACACUUACUGAAGAGUACCCUGUACACAACAGUCACAGAAGGGAAGACAGCAUCUCUCUUCGGACCUCUGACGACAAAGAAUGGGAUGUGGAAGGAAGAGUAGCUGGGGAUGGCAAGGCCUUAACUCGAUGGCAAUACUGGACCCUUGGGAUUCCAGGCUCUGAAGAAGAACCUAAAAAUGUGACAAAAUAUUGAUGUUUUCUCAUUCCCUUCAGACACAGUCUUUCUUGAGAACAUCUGACAAGGUUGCUGGUGAACAAGCAUUCCCAGUGAGCAGCCUGCUGGCCUGGCACAGUGCCCGGAAGGGCAACGGUAGCAGCAAGAGUCACUGAGGGUACAGCUUUCAUUUACAGAUACAGCUCUUGGUUCCUUCACAGACGUAUCUGGCAUUGUGCAUCUCCUUGGAGGGACACACAGCCUCUGGAGAGGGAGAGAUGCCUGAGUCAUCCCAAGUAAAUUUUAUGAACCUGUCUGUGUAGGUGGCAGAUUUGCCUGGCUGAAGUUGGUCCGGGUAGAAGGAGUUGCUUCUCAAAACAUCCAGCUACGUUUUGAGAUUAAGUCAAUGUACCUAGGUCUUUGUAAUUUAAUUCAAUUCAAAAGUAAUUUAAGAUUCAGACCGGAGGAUACCUCCACCACAGUCUUGGUACAGGCCUCUCUUCCUCAGGAGGACACCGUUGGGAGAGAGACAAGAUACUGGUUUCUCCGUCCUGAUGCUCAUUUGAACUGACAUGUCAUCCCAUAUAUGACCCUGCCUUUUUCCCCUCAUCAAACUUCAUUAGACUCAACAGAGAGGAUUGGAAAGGGCACUGGGACAAAAAGAGAAAAAAAAGG
rnacentral:sRNA from 1 species